AGCGAAAGCGUUAAGUAUUCCACCUGGGGAGUACGCCGGCAACGGUGAAACUCAAAGGAAUUGACGGGGGCCCGCACAAGCGGAGGAACAUGUGGUUUAAUUCGAUGAUACGCGAGGAACCUUACCCGGGCUUGAAUUGCAACUGAAUGAUGUGGAGACAUGUCAGCCGCAAGGCAGUUGUGAAGGUGCUGCAUGGUUGUCGUCAGCUCGUGCCGUGAGGUGUCGGCUUAAGUGCCAUAACGAGCGCAACCCUUAUCGAUAGUUACCAUCAGGUUAUGCUGGGGACUCUGUCGAGACUGCCGUCGUAAGAUGUGAGGAAGGUGGGGAUGACGUCAAAUCAGCACGGCCCUUACGUCCGGGGCUACACACGUGUUACAAUGGGGGGUACAGAAGGCAGCUACACGGCGACGUGAUGCUAAUCCCUAAAGCCUCUCUCAGUUCGGAUUGGAGUCUGCAACCCGACUCCAUGAAGCUGGAUUCGCUAGUAAUCGCGCAUCAGCCACGGCGCGGUGAAUACGUUCCCGGGCCUUGUACUCACCGCCCGUC
rnacentral:rRNA from 1 species